rnacentral:sRNA from 1 species
UGUUUUCUCCCGGCUAUAAGUCCCCCUGC